UUGACGGAGAGUUUGAUCCUGGCUCAGGAUGAACGCUGGCGGCGUGCUUAACACAUGCAAGUCGAACGAUGAUGCCCAGCUUGCUGGGCUGAUUA
rnacentral:rRNA from 1 species